UCAAGCAGAUCGAGAUGGUGUCCCUGUCCCAGCUUCUUGGGCUCCUGCUGCUCUGGAUGCCAGACAUCAGUGGAGAGAAAGUGCUGACUCAGACUCCAGAAUUCCUGUCCAAGGCUCCAGGAGAGAAAGUCACCAUCAACUGCAAAGCCAGUGAGAGUGUUAGUAACCAUUUACACUGGUACCAGCAGAAAUCUGGACAAGCCCCGAAACUGAUCAUUAAGCAGGCCACCACCCUGAUGUCUGGGGUGCCGGCCCGAUUCAGCGGGAGCGGGUCCGGGACGGAUUUCACUCUGACCAUCAGUGGUAUGGAAGCUGACGAUGUUGCAGACUACUACUGUCAGCAAGGCUAUAACCUUCCCCCCCACAGUGCUCUAGCCCUGUGCAAAAACUCCCCCGGUUGGUCAAUCAGUGACGCUCUGCUGUCCCAGGAACUACCCGUCCCCCUGCAGCUGUUCUGGGGCUGUUCAGACAGCAUCUCUUUGUCUGUGUAG